rnacentral:rRNA from 1 species
CAGUCGCCGCGGGAAUACGUAGGCAGCGAGCGUUGUUCGGAAUUACUGGGCGUAAAGAGUGUGUAGGCGGUGCUCUAAGUUCGGUGUGAAAUCUCCCGGCUUAACUGGGAGGGUGCGCCGGAAACUGGAAUGCUCGAGCGUGGGAGAGGAAAGCGGGAUUCCUGGUGUAGCGGUGAAAUGCGUAGAUAUCAGGAGGAACACCUGUGGUGUAGACGGCUUUCUGGACCAUAGCUGACGCUGAGACACGAAAGCGUGGGUAGCAAACAGGAUUAGAUACCCCCGUAGUCCCUGUCUCUUAUAC